rnacentral:rRNA from 1 species
CCUACGGGAGGCAGCAGUGGGGAAUUUUGGACAAUGGGCGCAAGCCUGAUCCAGCAAUGCCGCGUGAGUGAAGAAGGCCUUCGGGUUGUAAAGCUCUUUUGUCAGGGAAGAAACGGGUCUUUCUAAUACAGAGGCCUAAUGACGGUACCUGAAGAAUAAGCACCGGCUAACUACGUGCCAGCAGCCGCGGUAAUACGUAGGGUGCAAGCGUUAAUCGGAAUUACUGGGCGUAAAGCGUGCGCAGGCGGUUUUGUAAGUUUGUCGUGAAAUCCCCGGGCUCAACCUGGGAAUGGCGAUGAAGACUGCAAGGCUAGAGUUUGGCAGAGGGGGGUAGAAUUCCACGUGUAGCAGUGAAAUGCGUAGAUAUGUGGAGGAACACCGAUGGCGAAGGCAGCCCCCUGGGUCAAAACUGACGCUCAUGCACGAAAGCGUGGGGAGCAAACAGGAUUAGAUACCCUGGUAGUCCCACGACCUAACCGAUAGUCUACUAGUUAGUCGGUUCGUUAUUAGUACUUAGGUACGUACAGCUACGCGUGAGUAGACCGCCGUCGGGAGGUACGGUCGCGAGAAGUAAACGUACAAGUAGUAAGUUAGUACGGCGUGAGACGUGACCGACGGACGACGACGAGGGAGGAGG